UACGUAGGGUGCGAGCGUUGUCCGGAAUUACUGGGCGUAAAGAGCUCGUAGGUGGUUUGUCGCGUUGUUCGUGAAAACCGGGGCUUAACCCUCGGCGUGCGGGCGAUACGGGCAGACUGGAGUACUGCAGGGGAGACUGGAAUUCCUGGUGUAGCGGUGGAAUGCGCAGAUAUCAGGAGGAACACCGGUGGCGAAGGCGGGUCUCUGGGCAGUAACUGACGCUGAGGAGCGAAAGCGUGGGGAGCGAACAGG
rnacentral:rRNA from 1 species